GCGCAACGCUGGGGGUGCGGGGCUGCGGCAGUAGGCAGCUUCGCUGAGAGAGUCCCUUUGAACCUGAUUGAGGUCAUCCUCGCGCAGGGAAGCAGGGUGGGCAGCGC
rnacentral:ncRNA from 1 species